UGAAAUAUUUCAGUAAAAUUGUUGCUACUAAAUUAGUUUUUCUGUAAGACAUUUCAAGUAGGUAAAGUAGGGCGCUUAGGCUGGCUGAAAACAGAUAAAGGAUUGCGUUAGCCUAACUUGGUCUGUUCAUCGCGACGAGGAAGAGCAGCGGCAAAAUUUUCUAGAAUUGAUUCAGCUUGCUUCCAAUUCCGUAUCUACUAGAUUCUUUCAACAUUGAGUUUCUUUCAUUAGGUCAGCUCAAAGCAUAAAGGUGUUCUUCAU
rnacentral:sRNA from 1 species